GGUUAAGCGACUAAGCGUACACGGUGGAUGCCCUGGCAGUCAGAGGCGAUGAAGGACGUGCUAAUCUGCGAUAAGCGUCGGUAAGGUGAUAUGAACCGUUAUAACCGGCGAUUUCCGAAUGGGGAAACCCAGUGUGUUUCGAC
rnacentral:rRNA from 2 species